rnacentral:lncRNA from 1 species
AUGAGUUUUUCUGUUUGCAGAUGCACCAGGAGCAGGCUGCAGGGGGCGCUGUUCCCGCUCAGACACAGCCCGCAGCCUCACCGCCGCAGACAGGGGGCGCUGCAGAGCCGAGUUUCUUCAGCCUCAGCUCCAGCUCAGAGCGACUCCUCACAGGAAACCAGUGUGACGCCUGCAGAGGAGAAAGCGGCACAGAAGAAGAAAGGCCCAGAGAGCGAGUCCAAGGGCGAAGUGGAGCGGAGGAAACUGGGCAAAGAGAUGCAGGAUUAUAAAAGGAAAAACGAGGAAGACAGACCAAGAGGAUCCUGGAGGAACGACAGAAGGAGAAGGAAGAGGAAAGAGCAGCGCGAGAGAGAGUCCGACAGCAGAUCGCUCUGGACCGAGCGGAUCGAGCAGCGCGUUACGCUCGGACGGUUCAGGAGGAGAACUCGGCUAAAGAGGCUCGACUUCAGGCCGUUCAGCAGGAGCAGGAGGCCAAGAGGGAGGCGGCGCUCAGACAGAGGAGGUGACUAUAACUACACCUAACUCUGUUACUACACCUAACUACACCUAACUCUGUUACUACACCUAACUCUGUUACUACACCUAACUCUGUUACUACACCUAACUCUGUUACUACACCUAACUCUGUUACUACACCUAACUCUGUUACUACACCUAACUCUGUUACUACACAUAACUCUACUGUUACUACACAUAACUCUACUGUUACUACACCUAACUCUACUGUUACUACACCCAACUCUGUUACUACACCCAACUCUGUUACACCUAACUACACCCACUCUACUGUUACUACACCCAACUCUACUGUACUACACCCACCUGUUACAACCCACUCUUUACUACACCAACUCUACUGUUACUACACCCAACUCU